rnacentral:rRNA from 1 species
UACGGGGGGGCAAGCGUUGUUCGGAAUUACUGGGCGUAAAGGGCCAGUAGGCGGCCAACUAAGUCCGACGUGAAAUCCCAAGGCUUAACCUUGGAACUGCGUCGGAUACUGGAUGGCUUGAAUUCGGGAGAGGGAUGCAGAAUUCCAGGUGUAGCGGUGAAAUGCGUAGAUAUCUGGAGGAAUACCGGUGGCGAAGGCGGCAUCCUGGACCGACAUUGACGCUGAACGGCGAAAGCUAGGGAGC